rnacentral:rRNA from 1 species
AGUGAACGCUGGCGGUAGGCCUAACACAUGCAAGUCGAACGGCAGCACAGUAAGUGCUUGCUCUUACGGGUGGCGAGUGGCGUACGGGUGAGGAAUAUAUCGGAAUCUACUUUUUCGUGUGGGGUAACGUAGGGAAAGUUACGCUAAUAUCGCAUACGAUCUACGGGUGUAAGCAGUGGAACUUCUCACCUUGUGCGGUUGAAUGCGCCGAUGUCGGGUUAGUUAGUUGGCGGGGUAAAGGCCCACCCAGGGGACGAUCGGGAGCUGGUGAGUGUGGAGGAUCGGCCGCACUGGAAGUGGAACACGGACCAUGCGCCUAAGGGAGGCAGCAGUGUGCAAUAUGGGACAAUGGGGGCAAGCCUGAUCCAGCCAUACCGCGUGGGUGAAGGAGGCCUUCGGUUUGUAAAGCCGUUUUGUUGGUAAAGAAAAGCAGCAGGUUAAUACCCCGCGUGUCUGACGGUACCCAAAGAAUAAGCACCGGCUAACUUCGUG